CUACUUACCUCACAGAGAAGAUGCCCUGAUCUCCAAGGAGGUCUUCCCAGAGCAGGGCUUACCCAUUGCAGUCCGGGGGUGCUGACACCUGGGAUUCCCUCAAAUGUGGGGAAAUCCACUGUGAAAGGUGUGGUGGUGCAUGACUGCAUUUGCAGCCUCAUUCC